ACUUUCAGAAUGCUCCGCCAUGCUAUCGCGAUCAAUCAAAUCCUAUUUAAACUUCUAAUUUCGCCGAAAUGAAAUUUCCUAUAGAAAUUCGGUGGCCGUGAUACAUGGAGUGAGUAACGAGUGACUGAAAAUGUAGGUUAGCGUGGUGCCACUGUACCAUAGACCGUAAAAAGAAGGUUCCGAGCCUGAGGUUCGGCCAUCGAACCACCAAGAAUUUGAAAUAAAACGUUGACGCCGUUAUAUUUGACACGAUCAAGGAGUGACGACGUUUGCUGACGUUCUGACAUUGGCCAGUUGCUUUUUCAAUACAAGACGCGUGGAAACAGUUUGGGAAAUUUUUAUUCGUUGUAAUCGUAUACAUAUAACAGUUUAAUUUUCCGAAUGCA
rnacentral:misc_RNA from 1 species